CGGGGUGUAGCGCAGCCUGGUAGCGCACUUGCAUGGGGUGCAAGGAGUCGGAGGUUCAAAUCCUCUCGCCCCGACCA
rnacentral:tRNA from 1 species